rnacentral:rRNA from 1 species
GAUGAACGCUGGCGGCGUGCCUAAUACAUGCAAGUCGAGCGAACAGACGAGGAGCUUGCUCCUCUGACGUUAGCGGCGGACGGGUGAGUAACACGUGGAUAACCUACCUAUAAGACUGGGAUAACUUCGGGAAACCGGAGCUAAUACCGGAUAAUAUAUUGAACCGCAUGGUUCAAUAGUGAAAGACGGUUUUGCUGUCACUUAUAGAUGGAUCCGCGCCGCAUUAGCUAGUUGGUAAGGUAACGGCUUACCAAGGCAACGAUGCGUAGCCGACCUGAGAGGGUGAUCGGCCACACUGGAACUGAGACACGGUCCAGACUCCUACGGGAGGCAGCAGUAGGGAAUCUUCCGCAAUGGGCGAAAGCUUGACGGAGCAACGCCGCGUGAGUGAUGAAGGUCUUCGGAUCGUAAAACUCUGUUAUUAGGGAAGAACAAAUGUGUAAGUAACUAUGCACGUCUUGACGGGACCUAAUCAGAAAGCCACGGCGAACUACGU